AAAAAACAACAACAACAAGGAGCUGGUCCACUUUAUUCAACACUCAAUCAAGACGAUGAUACUCCUCCUCCUGUCCCUCCUGCCUAUAAUCCUGAGGGAGUACAGGAAUACUCUGUAUUGAAGAGAGAGGGAGAGAAUAAGGGUCAACAGGGUCUGUCUACUGGUGCUACUGGACUAUAUUCAACCAUUAAUAAAAACACCAACAACCAGGUGUUAGUUGAUGAAUCAGCUCAUAAGCCAGUGUAUGCUGAUCUGGCUAUUGCUGCUAAAGGGAAGAGACCACAGGCAGCACCAACACAAGAACAACCAGUGGUAUAUGCAUCAGUUAACAACAAAUCUGUUCCUCCUCCCAUUCCUCCUCCAGCUGCUCCUCAUAAAGUAUUGUAUGCUGAUUUAUCAAUAGCAGCUGGUAAGAGAACACCAAAGAAUAAACCACCCACUGAGGAAAGAGUAGUCCAUUUUGGUUGGCAUUGAAUGCCUCUAGUUUGGGGAGUGGUAGAUGUUUGUUUGUACAAUGUUAUAACUGGCUAUUGUAAUCAUGCUGUGUAACUGCAUCAUUUGUACAAGUUUGUGUUGAUGAUAAUUACAAAUCAUUGUAAUUUACUGUGGGCCUUUGGUGAAG